UACGGAGGGGACUAGCGUUGUUCGGAAUUACUGGGCGUAAAGCGCACGUAGGCGGAUUUGUUAGUCAGGGGUGAAAUCCCGAGGCUCAACCUCGGAACUGCCUUUGAUACUGCAAAUCUCGAGUCCGGAAGAGGUGAGUGGAAUUCCUAGUGUAGAGGUGAAAUUCGUAGAUAUUAGGAAGAACACCAGUGGCGAAGGCGGCUCACUGGUCCGGUACUGACGCUGAGGUGCGAAAGCGUGGGGAGCAAACGGG
rnacentral:rRNA from 1 species